rnacentral:lncRNA from 1 species
AAGGAGGCUGAAGACAACAUCUUGCUCUCGCCACUCUUCUAGCACUCUUGGAUCACAACUUCUUGGUCUCAAGCUUUGUAACUCCGACCACAAACAUCUCAGCUUCUUCACAUGCUGAUUGAAACCUUCUUUCCCUUGUUUAAACUCACAGAUCAUCUUCCUGACUUCAUACAUCCUCCUUAGAUUGAUCUUGUUCUCAUAAACAUCUUCAAUCUUCUCAAGAGAUAUACUUUCUUCAAGACUCAACUGAUCUUCACACUUCAACCUUGCUGUCUGACCCCCAUCAGCAGCUCUCUCCAUUAAAGGUUCUCCCUUUACAUGAUUACUUCAAAUCUCACAGCUUCCUAAGGCUGUCUUUACCCAUCUUGGCCAAACCCACUUGUUUUCUUCUUGAAUCUUCACUACUCCACUAGAUUCGUGCUUCAUAUCCAUGUUUCCACCAGAGAAUCUCAAAUAAACCCAGCCACAAAAGAAUAGACAGCACACAUACCCAGAAACCUCAACAACCCCAAGAACACUCAAGAACACUCAAGAACACUCUGAUUUUGAGAAAAAGAAAUCACACUCACCCCCUU